UACGAAGGGUGCAAGCGUUAAUCGGAAUUACUGGGCGUAAAGCGUGCGCAGGCGGUUUUGUAAGUCUGUCGUGAAAUCCCCGGGCUUAACCUGGGAAUUGCGAUGGAGACUGCAAGGCUAGAAUCUGGCAGAGGGGGGUAGAAUUCCACGUGUAGCAGUGAAAUGCGUAGAGAUGUGGAGGAAUACCGAUGGCGAAGGCAGCCCCCUGGGAUAACACUGACGCUCAUGCACGAAAGCGUGGGGAGCAAACAGG
rnacentral:rRNA from 1 species